rnacentral:pre_miRNA from 1 species
UAGGUUUGUCCUAAGUCAAACAUCUUUAAGUUUGACCAAAUCUAUAGAAAAAUAUAUCAACAUGAACAUCUACAACAUCGACUAUAUAUAGUAAGAAAUAUAUUUAUGUUAAAUCUAAUGAAACUACUUGGAUGUUGUAGAUGUUGGUAUGUUUUUCUAUGGACUCAGGUCAAACUUAAAGAGGUUUAACUUAGGACAAAGAACU